rnacentral:rRNA from 1 species
UACGUAGGGGGCAAGCGUUGUCCGGAAUCAUUGGGCGUAAAGCGAGCGUAGGCGGCCCGAUAAGUCUGCUGUGAAAGUCAACGGCUCAACCGUUGAAAGCCGGUGGAUACUGUCGGGCUAGAGUUCGGAAGAGGCAAGUGGAAUUCCUGGUGUAGCGGCGGAAUGCGCAGAUAUCAGGAGGAACACCCAUAGCGAAGGCAGCUUGCUGGGACGAUACUGACGCUAAGGCUCGAAAGCGUGGGGAGCGAACAGG